UUGAAAAUAUAGGUUGUGCAAGAUGAAGUGAUGAAUAAAAACAAUACAACUGAAAAUGUUUUUGGUGAUAUUCAAGACGACAAGGUGUUGGAGGAGAGGAAUGACUAUGUGGGGAACAAAUUUGAUGAUGAUGUGUUUGAUGUAAAUGAUUAUAGUGAAGUUAAAGAGGAGUCGGAGGAGAGGAAUGACAAUGCGGGGAACAAAUUUGAUGAUGAUGUGUUUGACGUAAAUGAUUAUAGUGAAGCUAAAGAGGU